CCUACGGGAGGCUGCAGUGAGGAAUAUUGGUCAAUGGGCGCGAGCCUGAACCAGCCAAGUAGCGUGAAGGAUGACUGCCCUACGGGUUGUAAACUUCUUUUAUAAAGGAAUAAAGUGAGGCACGUGUGCCUUUUUGUAUGUACCUUAUGAAUAAGGAUCGGCUAACUCCGUGCCAGCAGCCGCGGUAAUACGGAGGAUCCGAGCGUUAUCCGGAAUUAUUGGGUUUAAAGGGUGCGUAGGUGGGGUGGUAAGUCAGUUGUGAAAGUUUGGGGCUCCACCGUAAAAUUGCAAUUGAUACUGGCAGCCUUGAGUACAGUUGAGGUAGGCGGAAUUCGUGGUGUAGCGGUGAAAUGCUUAGAUAUCACGAAGAACUCCGAUUGCGAAGGCAGCUUACUAGACUGCAACUGACAUUGAUGCUCGAAAGUGUGGGUAUCAAACAGGAUUAGAUACCCCUGUAGUC
rnacentral:rRNA from 1 species